CUGAUACUGAUAAUAGUCGACCUCUUACCACAGUGGCAACCGGUCGACACCCAAUGACGACGCCGGUGUUAGUGAGUUCUCUCCCUGCCCUCUCUCUCUUGCGCGCACUCUCUUUGUCUUUCAGACCUUUCACCACCGGAUGGCACCCAACAACGACAUCGGAGUCAAUAGGUUUUGAAACCAGGACCAAAGAAUAAGGUUUGAGUUGUUGGUAUAGCAUUAUUAAACAUUGCAGAAUUUACUUAUGCAGCUGAAGAGAAAGAGCUUGAAAUAAAUGUCCCUCUCAUUCUGCUUAAUGGCAAUGUUAAUCCUCAGCCCUCUCUUUGUUUAUCUCUCAGCUUAUUGGAAUUGAGAACCACCCAAGAGCAUGCGAGACAGUACCAAGAUUGAUAGUUUCGGUUCCACUGUCACCUCGGUCUGGAGAAUCUAUCUCAACAGAGAGGAAUGAUUUUUUUGCUCUCAAAGCAGGUCUAAGAAAAGUAAAAAUAUUCACAAAGUAUGUAUCAACUCAAAGAUCUAAGAAGGCAUGCCAUGAGGAAGAGGGGAGUGAGGGCAGGUGCUCUGCAAGGAGUGACGAUGCUGAUUGUAUAUACCCAUUACUCUCUUGAUGAUUUUGAUGAUGGAGAAUUGGAGGAUGGGAAGGGAGAUUCUAGUUUUAGGAAGUCAUUCAAUUAUGGUACCUUGGCAUAUGCAAACAACAUUGGGAGAUCACUUUACUGUGACAAGAGGAUCAGUGGGGAUUAUGAGGAUUGGAUUUACUAUAGCAACCACAAAUCGGAGCUGCUUGCAUGUCAAGGAUUUGGUGGCAUUAAUCGGAUGUAAGAGGGCUUGGGCUCCUUCUCGUAUCCAGAACGGAGGGUUUAUAUCUGGACAACAUUCUUGUUGUUUUUUCUUGCCAUAUUCAAUUCUUGCAUUGCAUCACUAAAUUUGGAAGGAUUGCAUGGGGCAUUUUGGCAUGUUAAUAUUAUAGUUCUUUUAAUCCAAGAGGCCAUCAAGGAUUGCAUUAUAUUUUGCAUAGGUUUAAGUGGAUUUGCAUUGGAAGAUGUGCUACAUUAUUUGACAAAUUGAAUGUUUCUGAAGUCCUUGUAUUUUUUUAUAUGUCAAUUGGAUAUUGUAUUUG